rnacentral:rRNA from 1 species
UAACGCGUGGGUAACCUGCCCUAUACACAUGGAUAACAUACUGAAAAGUUUACUAAUACAUGAUAAUAUAUAUUUACGGCAUCGUAGAUAUAUCAAAGUGUUAGCGGUAUAGGAUGGACCCGCGUCUGAUUAGCUAGUUGGUGAGAUAACUGCCCACCAAGGCGACGAUCAGUAGCCGACCUGAGAGGGUGAUCGGCCACAUUGGAACUGAGACACGGUCCAAACUCCUACGGGAGGCAGCAGAC